AUUGAACGCUGGCGGCAGGCCUAACACAUGCAAGUCGAACGAGUGGCGGACGGGUGAGUAAUGUCUGGGAAACUGCCUGAUGGAGGGGGAUAACUACUGGAAACGGUAGCUAAUACCGCAUACCAUCCGAUGGGCCCAGAUGGGAUUAGCUUGUUGGUGGGGUAACGGCUCACAACGGCGACGAUCCCUAGCUGGUCUGAGAGGCUGACCAGCCACACUGGAACUGAGACACGGUCCAUACUCCGACGGGAGGCAGCAGUGGGUAUGAUGGCACAAUGGGCGCAAGCCUGAUGCAGCCAUGCCGCGUGUAUGAAGAAGGCCGUCGGGUUGUAAAGUACUUUCAGCGGGGAGGCGUUACCCGCAGAAGAAGCACCGGCUAACUCCGUGCCAGCCGCCGCGGUAAUUC
rnacentral:rRNA from 1 species